UACGUAGGGCGCAAGCGUUAUCCGGAAUUAUUGGGCGUAAAGAGCUCGUAGGCGGUUUGUCGCGUCUGCCGUGAAAGUCCGGGGCUCAACUCCGGAUCUGCGGUGGGUACGGGCAGACUAGAGUGAUGUAGGGGAGACUGGAAUUCCUGGUGUAGCGGUGAAAAUGCGCAGAUAUCAGGAGGAACACCGAUGGCGAAGGCAGGUCUCUGGGCAACAACUGACGCUGAGGAGCGAAAGCGUGGGGGAGCAAACAG
rnacentral:rRNA from 1 species